GUGCAAGUGAUGUGAACGUUUUUUGACCACUGAGUAGAGUGAUGCUUCCAAAGGAACCACUGAUGCAC
rnacentral:snoRNA from 1 species